rnacentral:sRNA from 1 species
UUUGGGCUGUAGGGAAAUGGUACUGCUGCUGUCCCUCAUUCCCUGAGAUGGGGUGAAGGAAGGGCACUCCCUGGGGAUAUGGGAAGUUGGGGCAUGAAGCCUUUCCUGUCCUCUAGGGAUCCUGAAACUCCGCCACAUCUGGAACCUGAAGUUGAUGCGUUGGUGAGGAGGAAUGGGCCCCUCGAAGUGGGCCGGGCCGGCCCCACCUGCCUCUGCCCAGAUUUGCCCUCCUCCUGCUCUGCCCAGGAGGUGGCGUCCAGCAGUCCAGGCAGGGCAUGGGGUGGGGCCCCGCAGGCCCUCCCCUGUGCCUCCCUUCUGCAUGCUGAUGCUGGGGGCAGGGUGGUGGAGCCGGGUGCAGGGGGCAGGACUAAUUGCAUCUGUCCCUGCUUAGGACCCCUGCAGCUGCAGACAUCUGCUUCACCAAGGAGCUACACUCCCACUUCUUCAGCUUGGGCAAGUGUGUGCCUGUGUGCCGAGGAGCAGAAUUUUUCCAAGCAGAGAAUGAGGGGAAAGGUGUU